rnacentral:rRNA from 1 species
UGGGGAAUAUUGCACAAUGGGCGGAAGCCUGAUGCAGCAAUGCCGCGUGCGUGAAGAGGGCCUUCGGGUUGUAAAGCACUUUUGUCCGGAAAGAAAUCCUUGGCUCUAAUACAGUCGGGGGAUGACGGUACCGGAAGAAUAAGCACCGGCUAACUACGUGCCAGCAGCCGCGGUAAUACGUAGGGUGCAAGCGUUAAUCGGAAUUACUGGGCGUAAAGCGUGCGCAGGCGGUUUGCUAAGACCGAUGUGAAAUCCCCGGGCUCAACCUGGGAACUGCAUUGGUGACUGGCAGGCUAGAGUAUGGCAGAGGGGGGUAGAAUUCCACGUGUAGCAGUGAAAUGCGUAGAGAUGUGGAGGAAUACCGAUGGCGAAGGCAGCCCCCUGGGCCAAUACUGACGCUCAUGCACGAAAGCGUGGGGAGCAAACAGGAUUAGAUACCCUGGUAGUCCACGCCCUAAACGAUGUCAACUAGUUGUUGGGAUUCAUUUCCUUAGUAACGUAGCUAACGCGUGAAGUUGACCGCCUGGGGAGUACGGUCGCAA